ACAACACGAUUUAUUAACGGAAUAUUAAUGCAAUUCAGUUUAAACAAUUUCUCUGCCCACAUAUACAUUUUCGUUAGUUAGAAAGUCGCCACAUUUAUAUUUAGGAUUGAGUAACUGAAAUGGAAAAAACUUUUCGGAUAGAGUGUGAUAAGCAUCUUCACUAUCAAAAAUCUUUCAACAUGAAAGCGUCGCGAACACAAUUUUUUGGCUUCAAUAUAGGUAAGGGCCGUUUUGAGUAUAGCGACAAAAAGUACGUAAGAGUUAAUGGAAAAACGGAAAGCGAUAACAGCGUUGAAAUUUGCGGUGUUGAAGCGAAAAAAGUCACUUACAGACCAACCAUGAGACCACUGUCGACUAAACAUUCUAAGAAUGUUACUGUUACGUACAACGCAAAUUAAUAAAUGAUUUUUUUUCAAAUACCCUACCCGGGCCUGG